rnacentral:sRNA from 1 species
GUCGAUUGGGAGACUCAUCAAGUAUUAGUUGAAAACCGAGAAUCGCUUCUGUGCCAAUGGCGGGCUACAACGGCAGGCUUCGGCCUACGUUCACCUCUGGUGAUACAGUAGAUUACAAAGGCAGAGAGGUACUCAAAUCCUGUUUUUCGGAGUUUUCGCUUUAUC